rnacentral:rRNA from 1 species
UACGUAGGUGGCAAGCGUUAUCCGGAUUUAUUGGGUGUAAAGGGCGUGUAGGCGGGAGCGCAAGUCAGAUGUGAAAACUCAGGGCUCAACCCUGAGCCUGCAUUUGAAACUGUGUUUCUUGAGUGCUGGAGAGGCAAUCGGAAUUCCUAGUGUAGCGGUGAAAUGCGUAGAUAUUAGGAGGAACACCAGUGGCGAAGGCGGCCUACUGGACGGUGACUGACGCUGAGGCUCGAAAGCGUGGGGAGCAAACAGG